rnacentral:rRNA from 1 species
AUUGAACGCUGGCGGCAUGCCUUACACAUGCAAGUCGAACGGCAGCACGAGAGCAAUCCUGGUGGCGAGUGGCGAACGGGUGAGUAAUGUAUCGGAACGUACCUUUCAGUGGGGGAUAACGUAGCGAAAGUUACGCUAAUACCGCAUAUUCUGUGUGCAGGAAAGCAGGGGAUCGCAAGACCUUGCGCUGAUUGAGCGGCCGAUAUCAGAUUAGCUAGUUGGUGAGGUAAAGGCUCACCAAGGCGACGAUCUGUAGCGGGUCUGAGAGGAUGAUCCGCCACACUGGAACUGAGACACGGUCCAGACUCCUACGGGAGGCAGCAGUGGGGAAUUUUGGACAAUGGGGGCAACCCUGAUCCAGCCAUGCCGCGUGAGUGAAGAAGGCCUC